GAUGAAGAACGUAGCGAAAUGCAAUAAGUAGUGUGAAUUGCAGAAUUCAGUGAAUCAUCGAAUCUUUGAACGCACAUUGCGCCCCUUGGUAUUCCGGGGGGCAUGCCUGUCCGAGCGUCAUUGCUGCCCUCAAGCACGGCUUGUGUGUUGGGCCUCCGUCCUCCUCCCGGGGGACGGGCCCGAAAGGCAGCGGCGGCACCGCGUCCGGUCCUCGAGCGUAUGGGGCUUCGUCACCCGCUCUUGUAGGCCCGGCCGGCGCUUGCCGACACAUCAAUCUUUUUUCCAGGUUGACCUCGGAUCAGGUAGGGAUACCCGCUGAACUUAAGCAUAUCAAUAAGCGGAGGA
rnacentral:misc_RNA from 1 species